rnacentral:tRNA from 4 species
GUCCCCAUCGUCUAGUGGCCUAGGACACCGGCCUUUCACGUCGGCAACGGGGGUUCGACUCCCCCUGGGGACG